UACGUAGGGUGCGAGCGUUAAUCGGAAUUACUGGGCGUAAAGCGUGCGCAGGCGGUUCCAUAAGACAGAUGUGAAAUCCCCGGGCUUAACCUGGGAACUGCGUUUGUGACUGUGGGACUUGAGUGUGGCAGAGGGGGGUUGGAAUUCCACGUGUAGCAGUGAAAUGCGUAGAGAUGUGGGGGAACACCGAUGGCGAAGGCAGCCCCUGGGUCGAACACUGACGCUCAUGCACGAAAGCGUGGGGAGCAAACAGGAUUAGAA
rnacentral:rRNA from 1 species